rnacentral:rRNA from 1 species
AGGACGAACGCUGGCGGCGUGCUUAACACAUGCAAGUCGAGCGGAAAGGCCCUUCGGGGUACUCGAGCGGCGAACGGGUGAGUAACACGUGAGCAACCUGCCCCUGGCUCUGGGAUAGCCUUCGGAAACGGGGAUUAAUACCGGAUAUUCACUGCUCCCUGCAUGGGGGGUGGUGGAAAGUUUUUCGGCUGGGUGGGCUCGCGGCCUAUCAGCUUGUUGGGGGGUGACGGCCCACCAAGGCGACGACGGGUAG